AGUUGUUGAACGUGUUGAUAACAGUGCAUCAUUAUUUGGACGAUCAAUUCUACAAGAUAACUUGUGCUUCCUUGUUAAAAGAGUAAGUUGUGUUAUCUACCCAAUAAUGCACAUGAAAAAAUACUCAAUUCUGAUUAGCAAAGAGUGCAGUGCAAUCAAAAACAUAAAAGCAGAGCUUGGAAGCGAGGCAGGAAAAAUCAACAUGGCCGAAGAUAUUAGCAUGUCAGCUUGAACUUUUUUGACUACUUUUUGUACACUUUCAUCGACUGAAAACGUUUGCCUUUGCAAUGAAAAUGUUGUAGGUGAGUUCACAGGUGUUAUCAAAGCGUGUAAUUUUUUCAUGUGCAUUGCAUCACCGUGUUUGAAAAUCUCACCCGUUCAUGAUUUUUCCAAAUUGCACUCGAAACCAUAUACUACUAUACCUAUACAAACUGUUUGUUAGAUAACUGGUAAACCUUUGUACCGUUUACAAACGUAUUUUAUGCACUCUCGUGAGUCGUGACCCUUCGCAAUCCGGUGACAAAGUUUAGCUCAAAUCCCUGGGAGGCAUAAAGAUCUUCAACUGUUGAGUAAUUUGGAAUUUACGGUGAUUUGGAGUCGGUGUUGUGAGCCCAUGAAUUCACGUGCCCUGAUUCCUUAAUGACAAAUAUUGCAUUUUUCAUGUUGGGGCUAUUUCCCAUCCGUUCAUUCCUGUGCAUAAUAAAUCCUUCAGCCGUUGGAAGUACAGUUCAUAUAUGCUCCAGUCUCAGGUUUUUAUUCCAUGGCUCGGUUCUAAUUCCCACCAGAAACCGUUCUGCGUUCAAUUGCGUUCUUUGUAUGAUGCAAUGCCUGAGAAUUUCGAGCGGAAGAUUAUAUACAAUUUUAGACCUAACCCAUGAGCAGGCCCUCUGGCAGGAAUCGAACCGGCGGCUCUGCGAUUCCGGUGCAGCGCUUUAACCAACUUAGCUACAGAGUAACCGCAAUUAGUAUAAUUUCAGUGUUGAAAAAUGACCUUUGAGCAUUCUGAUUAGCUCCCUCAGCAGUAACCCUGAGGCAAUAGUUACGGCUCAGACUGCUCUGAACAGUAACUAUUGAUUUUUUCUGUGUUGGUGUUGUGUAUACUCAGGUGAAUAAUAUGUUUGUGGGCUAGUAUUCCAAAGGUCGUAGGUUCGAUUCCCACCGUGGCCAGGCAUAUUUUUCAAGCUCGCCCGGUGUGGAUAUACACUCAGAGUAACUAUUGCUUUUCCCCAAAAAAUGGCUGAAAAUCAGACGGAAGUAAAUUAUUUAUGCAAAUUAUAUUCAUAAAAUAAACACGUGUAGUAGUUCUAUUUUUAUCAAAUAAAAGUUUUUCAAUACUGAAAUUACACCAAAACAAUCAGUCGGUGAUUACAAGCCUAACUGAGUAAUUGUUAAUGUUCUUGUAUAGUGGGUGGUGAUCCCAGUAUAAGGAAUAGGGUAAUCCCAGGGUAAAUAUCGAGAUUUUUUUGCCAUCUCGCUCGAUAUAUAAUCUUCCGCUCUAAAUUUCCAUCAACAAAAACCCAACUGUUAGUUCUAUCGAGCGAGAUGCCCACAAAUACUGAAAUGCUUCUAUAUGAUUUACAAGUAUUUAUAAUAUAGCAUUUGUAAAUUCUGAACGCUGAUUGGCUAACAGCCGUGUUGAUAUAACUCAAUGUCAACACGGAAAAUUUCUUUCUUUAUAUUUCUUUGUGCUAUAUUAUAAAAAGAAUAUAAAACAUUUUUCCGUAUUGAUAUACAGUUAUAUCAACACUCGUGUGGUUUGGUGCGGUUCUAUAUGAUAUUUAUUCAAGUAUAUAUCACUGAUUCAAUUUUGGUGCGGUUAAUUUUUGCUUCCAGAGUGAAACGAACAUCACAGUUGAUGCGAAAUCCAGUGACCACGCCUUGGUUUCCAAUAUCUUUGAAGAAAUGAAAUCCUUACUUAAAGAAUUACAAUGAUGAAAAUGGUUUGACAUUAUAUUUAUAUUGACCUAAUUAAAUCACCAAUGAAUAAUUAUAAUGAUUAAUAGAUUUCGAACUAUCCAAAAUUAUUUUCCUCGACCUUAAUUGGUGCAAUUUUUAUUUUCAAUUUUUACUGAUACUUUACGUGUGAAGUACAGACAAGUACAACUCUUGCGUUCUUUUAAUCAAAACACUGAUAUAUAUAUCAGUGAAUCGAAGCCUUAACUUUCCAUUCACAAACAUUUACUUUUGCAUCAUUGAUGCAACUAAUUGUAUAUUCAAUAAACGUGUAAGCUCAAUAAAAUAAAGGGCAAUCGUAUAGACAUGCAUAUAUAUAUUGAAUUGGUUGCAAUAGUAGUAACUGUAUCAUCAAUAUUCUGAUCAAUAGAGGAAUUCUCAACCGAAACAACAAUAAACACACGGACCUGUCGAUGCAGACAAACAACUAGCUGGUCAGAAAAGAGAAACAACAAUUCCUUCCCAACUUAUUAUAUUCCCGCUCAUAUUGUUGUAGUACAUUAAAAAUAUUAUUAUUUUUCGAAUAGUCAUUAGUUAGAGAACUGAGAUAAGGACAUUGGAUUUAUAGAAAACUACUGUAUAGGCGAUCCACAAGAAAUGUUGUCAACAUGACAUUUUUCACUUCAACUUUUUUUUCUGAAAGCAGAUAUUUAUAGACUGUCGUGCGUGAAAAACAUAAGGAAGAUCAGAAAUAUUUUAGCUUUUGAUUGAGAUAGUGUUAAUCUUCAAAUUGACAAAAAUGCCAUUGAGAUUUUCAGGGCGUAAAUAGACAUGAAAACUAUUUAUUUACAGUGGAUUACAUUGUCCACGUCCAUUUCAAGCUACUGUUUCGUGUGCACUCCAGCAAAUUUGGAAAGUGUCUAUAUACUAAAUCUAAACUAAAUCUCUAUUUUUAGAGUUAUAUAGCGCGAUUCCUUCCAAAACAUAAUAUUUUACUUGAAAUCAAUAAAAGUACGAUUUCACGAAUCCAAAUAAAAAACAACCAAAGACAGUUCAAAUUUAAAUGUGGGAAGAGAAAUGUACAAUAUUUAGUAUUGACUAGUGUACUGCACAUUGCCUUGACGCAUCCCUGUUAUUUCUCGCCACAAAAUGGAACGCAGUUGUUUCGAUAGCCGCGUCUGAGCUUCGCGUCCCAAUCAAUCAUAUACUACUGGAUUUUAAGUAAUCCUAGUGUAUAAAAAAUAAUUCAGGUAUUGUUUAUAAACAAAAACUGUUUUUUUAGUACUCGGUUAAUUCUGACCGGUACGGUUGCUAAAUGUUACUGUAUAUUUAUAUAGGUUUAUAUACAUUUCAUAACAUUUUUAUAAAUAUAAAGAUGUUAUCGAUCUUUGGAGUUACACUUGUUUUGUAUUUUGUUAAUUUGAAAAUAAAUAUGUUUUGUUUGAAUGUGCGCGUCACGAAGCUUAGCGUCGUAUACGUAUACACGCUCACUUCUAAUGACUUUAUAGUACAAGUUGUAAACACGGUCUAUUUCAGGCAAUUUCGACCGGUACUUGCGCAGAGAAUAACGCAUGUGUUUUGGUUAGAGAUAUUCGACAAAUAUACGAUUGAAAUUGCAUUUAAAGGGCAGCGCGGCGAACAAUGAUAAAGCAUUAUAUUUUAUUAGGUCUUCAAAUAUAUAGAUUGUAUUGUUUUCUUUUAUGUGACUUAUACCCCCUCCCCCCCCCGGAAUCUCCCCCCCCCCCUCAACCCUCUUGCACACAAAGUAUAGCUGAGCAUAAUGGCAAAAAUGAGGCUUCUCCGCAGGAAUCUCUUAUAGAGUAAGGGUAACCCUAAGAAAUGGCUGCGGAGGAGGCUAGGCCCACAUCGACGAAAUAUUUUUGUGGUCAGAAUAAGCUCUGUAUUCAUAAUGCCAUAAACCGGCAAUGAUAAGAUUACAUUUAAUAAUUAUUGAUAACCUUGUAACCUUCAUAUAUACUAAAAAUAUAUACUAAAGUUAUUUUAAAACUUUAAUUUGUGAUGGUUUAUACACUAGCUUGUUAGGUCGUGCUCCGAAGGUUGAUCUUCUACUUGCUUUAAAUUCCUUAUAUAAUUAUCAUCCAUAAUGACAAAAUCAUCCAUAAUCACAAAAUCAUUAUCUUUUCAAAACUGGCCGAAACAGGCCACUACUCUGAUAAGUGGUUUUCUGUGGGCGUUUGCAUGCAUGCACGAACCCGCACAAGACAAUAUUAAACCAGGCUGUUGAAUCUUUUGGUAAGCCACAAGAAAGAGAUUCGGUCUUUGUAUACAGCAAUACAAACACCGGACAGCUUUCAUGCAUAGCUUGAAAUACUCAAUAUGUACGAAAUUAUAAUAAAAUCACAGGGUCUCGUGCACGCCUGUAUAUUAACCAUGCAGUCAGUUUUGAAAUACAACUGAAAUACCACAAAAUUGUCAUGCGGAUAAGGUGGAUCUAGGCGACCAUCAUUUAAUUUAAUUAAUCUCCCAAAAUCUAGAACCCCUAAACGUGAUAGAAGAAGUAAAGUGCAUGUUAAUGAGGUUUAUAGAUUUCUCCUUUGUCCCAUAAAUGCCCAACGCGAUGAUAAAAAUAAUUGAUAGUAAUUUCCGUUGUUCGAAUCUUAAAACGUUCUUUUACGUUUUAAGACGCCUUUGGCUUUGAAUUUUGUCUUUGUUGAGACUCAACGAUCAUUUUCAAUUAAGAAAUGUUUAAGAGAUAAAUAUUUAUUAAAGUGUUUAUAUACUUACUAUAAAAACAUCUUUAAAAAUCUCUUCAUGGUGGUUUUGGUGUUUUUAGUUGUGAUGGAUAAAUUAAUUUUUCUGUAAUUUAAGCAUCUCUGCAUUGUCCAAUUGAUAAGGGAUCUGAGGCAAAAUAAUUCUAAGCUGCCUAAAAUAUCUAUAGUUCGAUAAGUUAUACGUAGGUUCUUGGAUACCGUUUCUCCAUGCACGCCGGAAACUUUCUUAUGUCCUCAUUACUAUGGCUUUGUUCAAACCAUAACUCGCAUACUAACAUUGUAACUUGUAUAUUACUCUUAUUUUAACGUAUUCAAGUAUAUUAACGUUGUAUACAGCUGAUUCAAUUAAGAUUGUCCUUCCAAAACCUUAAACUCUGAGCGCGCAAGGGAAGAGAGAUUUUCACGUAUUAGGCCCUUAAACUCAGGAAAAUUCCUUUUACAGCAAGUAUGUUUUCUGUCGUGAAUCUUCUAUAUGUCUUAGGUAUUCUUGCAAAGCCAAAUUUCAAAGUUUACGAGUCUAAAUAAGCUAUAACCCAUCAUUCCUUGCGCGCUCAGAGUUUAACUUAAGCUUUAAGUUUUUGGAAGGACUGUAUAUCAUGUGGCAUCAAGUGAAAUAUUAUACAAAUAAUGAAUGUUUAUGAGUGCAGUGGUAAAAAAUAUUUUCUUGAGGUGAAAGAUGGAAAAUUCUACCUCGCGAAAAUAUUUUUACUAUUGCACGGAAUAUAAACAUUCGUUUUACAUAACACCAAAAUAGAUCAAUUUUAUCGAAUUUUUAAUUGAAUAUCUGACAAAACAAAUACAUUGUUGAAACGUUUCCUUGAUGGAAAUUUCGAGUGUAAAUCCUAUAUACAUUUAUUAAAUCUAACCAGGAGCAGUUGGAAAAAUUCAUCUAUGUAGGCUCUCUGGCAGGAAUCUCGAACCUCAGAGGGCCAAUAGUUGCAUUUUCCCAACCGAUCCUGGUUUAUAGGUCCUAAUGAAUCUAUAAGAUUUAAAUGGAAUUUUGGUCAACAGUAUGAUCAACAGCAG